rnacentral:rRNA from 1 species
GACGAACGCUGGCGGCGUGCUUAACACAUGCAAGUCGAACGGAAAGGCCUGCUUUCCCUUGUGGAUUGCGGGUACUCGAGUGGCGAACGGGUGAGUAACACGUGAGUGAUCUGCCCCCAACUUGGGUAUAAGCCUGGGAAACUGGGUCUAAUUCCCGAUAGGACUGCAGGGUGGUGCCUGUGGUGGAAAACGAUUUUCUAGUGGUUGGGGGUGAGCUCGCGGCCUAUCAGCUUGUUGGUGGGGUAAUGGCCUACCAAGGCGGCGACGGGUAGCCGGCCUGAGAGGGUGGACGGCCACAUUGAGACUGGGAUACGGCCCAGACUCCUGCGGGAGGCAGCAGUGGGGAAUAUUGCAGAGUGGGCGGAAGCCUGAUGCAGCGACGCCGCGUGGGGGAUGACGGCCUUCGGGUUGUAAGCUCCUUUCGACCGCGAGGAAGCCACCUGGUUGGAAGGGUGGUGACGGUAGUGGUAGAAGAAGCACCGGCUAACUACGUG